GAUGAACGCUGACAGAAUGCUUAACACAUGCAAGUCUACUUGAACUUCGGUUUGGGUGGCGGACGGGUGAGUAACGCGUAAAGAACUUGCCUCACAGUUAGGGACAACAUUUGGAAACGAAUGCUAAUACCUGAUAUUAUGAUUUUAGGGCAUCCUAAGAUUAUGAAAGCUAUAUGCACUGUGAGAGAGCUUUGCGUCCCAUUAGCUAGUUGGAGAGGUAACGGCUCACCAAGGCAGUGAUGGGUAGCCGGCCUGAGAGGGUGAACGGCCACAAGGGGACUGAGACACGGCCCUUACUCCUACGGGAGGCAGCAGUGGGGAAUAUUGGACAAUGGACCAAGAGUCUGAUCCAGCAAUUCUGUGUGCACGAUGACGUUUUUCGGAAUGUAAAGUGCUUUCAGUUGGGAAGAAAAAAAUGACGGUACCAACAGAAGAAGUGACGGCUAAAUACGUGCCAGCAGCCGCGGUAAUACGUAUGUCACAAGCGUUAUCCGGAUUUAUUGGGCGUAAAGCGCGUCUAGGUGGUUAUGUAAGUCUGAUGUGAAAAUGCAGGGCUCAACUCUGUAUUGCGUUGGAAACUGUGUAACUAGAGUACUGGAGAGGUAAGCGGAACUACAAGUGUAGAGGUGAAAUUACGUAGAUAUUUGUAGGAAUGCCGAUGGGGAAGCCAGCUUACUGGACAGAUACUGACGCUAAAGCGCGAAAGCGUGGGUAGCAAACAGGAUUAGAUACCCUGGUAGUCCACGCCGUAAACGAUGAUUACUAGGUGUUGGGGGUCGAACCUCAGCGCCCAAGCAAACGCGAUAAGUAAUCCGCCUGGGGAGUACGUACGCAAGUAUGAAACUCAAAGGAAUUGACGGGGACCCGCACAAGCGGUGGAGCAUGUGGUUUAAUUCGACGCAACGCGAGGAACCUGACCAGCGUUUGACAUCUUAGGAAUGAGACAGAGAUGUUCCAGUGUCCCUUCGGG
rnacentral:rRNA from 1 species